CUUUUUUUCUUUUUUUUUUAAUUUUUUUUUUUUUGAGACCCAGUCUUGCUCUGUUGCCCAGGCUGGAGUGCAGUGGUGCAAACACGGCUCACUGCAGCCUCUGCCUCCUGGGUUCAGUGAUUCUCAUGCCUCAGCCUCCGAGUAGCUGGGAUUAAAGAUGUGCAUCACCACGCCCAGCUAAUUUUUGUAUUUUUAGUAGAGAUGGGGUUUCACCAUGUUGGCCAGGCUGGUCUCGAAGUCCUGGCCUUAUGUGAUACAAAUAAUUGGGACAGCCUCCCAAAGUGCUGGGAUUACAAGCGUGAGCCACCACACCCAACCUGUUUUUAAAAUGUUUAUUGUCUAUAUUUGAGUUUACAACAUGAUGUUAUAGAAUAAUGGGACAGAUAUAGAUAGCACAGUGGUUACUAUGGUGAAGCCGAUGAGCAUGUCUGUUAUCUCACAUAGUCACCGUUUUUAGUGUGUGUGAGGAGCAGCUGAAACCUGCUUCACAGAAAUCCCUUAUGUUGUGCGUGAGCCCUCUAGACUUACUCAUCCUGUAUAUCUGCUACUUGGUGUCCUUUGGCCUACAUCUCCCUAUUUCCUUCAGCUCCUGCCCAUGAUGGGUCUGCUGUGUGCAGAGGCUCCAUGGGAUGUGUUGUCUUCAUAGUAGCAGGGCGCUGGACCAUGGGUCCGCAAGGUCUCAGCCUUAGAUCCAAGGACAGUCCAAGGAAGUCCUAAGACCAUGGAGUUGGUGAUCUGGGAUCUGGGUUUGCUGAUAUUUCUCACCGUGAAUCUCUUGGUGGUGUUUGUGGGCACGAGAGGGGCAGAGAAUGGAGAGUGAGGCUACCACAUGAAGCGUCACCAGAGCUGCUCCCUGCUGCCUGCUCAGAGCACCCCGGAUCCACUGUUCAAUCUGCACAAGAUUCGGGGUCCAGACAUGGGAGACUUCAGCUGCCUCAGAGGACCGUGGACAGGGAAGGCCAGCCUCGCAUCCCUCUGUCCAUGCCUGGAAUGACUUUAAUAACCAAGAGUUUUAUUUUUGAAUUUGUAGCUGUCGUUCACUUUUUACCCACCCAUUCAAUAAACCUUACAGAAUUGC
ensembl:lncRNA SNHG17 small nucleolar RNA host gene 17